ACGUACACUCCUACGGGAGGCAGCAGUGGGGAAUAUUGCACAAUGGGCGCAAGCCUGAUGCAGCCAUGCCGCGUGUAUGAAGAAGGCCUUCGGGUUGUAAAGUACUUUCAGCGGGGAGGAAGGCGAUAAGGUUAAUAACCUUGUCGAUUGACGUUACCCGCAGAAGAAGCACCGGCUAACUCCGUGCCAGCAGCCGCGGUAAUACGGAGGGUGCAAGCGUUAAUCGGAAUUACUGGGCGUAAAGCGCACGCAGGCGGUCUGUCAAGUCGGAUGUGAAAUCCCCGGGCUCAACCUGGGAACUGCAUUCGAAACUGGCAGGCUAGAGUCUUGUAGAGGGGGGUAGAAUUCCAGGUGUAGCGGUGAAAUGCGUAGAGAUCUGGAGGAAUACCGGUGGCGAAGGCGGCCCCCUGGACAAAGACUGACGCUCAGGUGCGAAAGCGUGGGGAGCAAACAGGAUUAGAAACCCGAGUAGUCCCAUG
rnacentral:rRNA from 1 species